rnacentral:rRNA from 1 species
AUUGAACGCUGGCGGCAGGCCUAACACAUGCAAGUCGAACGAGUGGCGGACGGGUGAGUAAUGUCUGGGAAACUGCCCGAUGGAGGGGGAUAACUACUGGAAACGGUAGCUAAUACCGCAUACCAUCGGAUGUGCCCAGAUGGGAUUAGCUAGUAGGGGGGGUAACGGCUCACCUAGGCGACGAUCCCUAGCUGGUCUGAGAGGAUGACCAACAAAACGGGAACUGGGAAACGGUCCAGAUGCCUACGGUGGGCAGCAGUGGGGAAUAUUGCACAAUGGGCGCAAGCCUGAUGCAGCCAUGCCGGUUGUAUGAAGAAGGCUUUCGGGUUGUAAAGUACUUUCAGCGAGGAGGCGUUAAUCGCAGAAGAAGCACCGGCUAACUCCGUGCCAGCAGCCGCGGUAAUAC